rnacentral:lncRNA from 1 species
AAAAAGAUCAAUAGACUAUUUCAAGUCUCAAGUAUCUUAUUAUUUUUGUAAUAAAACUGGAUUAUCAAGCUAAAUAACUUUCAAAAGACUGGAGAAAAGAAUGAUGAAUCAUUUAAUAAACAAUCCACACUUACCAGCUGUAAGGACAGAUGCUGAAUAAUUAUAUUUGUUGAAUUCCAAAUACUCCCGAAUUAAUUCAUUAAUUAGGAGGUUUUCAUGAGAUAGGGGUGGAGGUUUUUCACCUUGAUCAUCUAGGGCAUUGAAGACUUCAGCUCUGAUCGUUGCUCUUAACUGGCCCAGUACACCCCUUUUUUCCAGUGUAUCCUUUAAAACUAAUAAAUAAGAUAUAACAUUUUAGUGCAAGAAUUUCAAGUAAAAUCACUGAUCAUUCUUAUAUGUACUGUUAUUGAAUAACUGGGGUAACAGAUGUAACUGGGGACACAAAUCAUUAUCAACAAAGCAAUAAAUAAUAGUUUCAGACAAAGUCUAGGGGCUUUUUUCUAAACACCCUCAUGGACCCUCCAAAUCUAGUAGUAGCUUACUUCCCCAUUUACAAAUACUUAGCAAAUAAUUGUUUAAGGGUACCAUAGACCUCCAACUCCAUUUCUCCCUAGUGUUCUUUUAAGCUCAAUUAGCCAUUUUCCAAGGAUAACUCAUGAUAUAUAGAAAUAAAACAAAAAAAAAAAAAAAGAAAAUGUCUAUUCUAAGGGAAACUAGAGUUGACUCAUGCAGCAACAAGAUUUUGCCCCUGGAACGUCCCAACUCAAUCCUAAAACCCCCCACAGCGGAGGACGUGCUGGCCCCCAAGAUCAAGGGUAAAUCCCCUACCUUCUCAAAGGUGUUUAAGCACACUUGAAGGAGGUAGGUAGUCCGAAAGCUACAGCGCAGGACCACGGAGUCACAAAGACUAAGCUAGUCACUUAGAACAAAGCCUGGGUGCAAUAAAUGUAGGUUCCCUAGUCAAGUGACCCAGAACAAUUCCGACUAUAAGGAAAGAUGGGGGGUGGGGUGGGGGUGGGGAAGAUGAGUAUAGCGAUGAGAUGUGGGAGUCUGAACGUGUUUAGGGAUUUGAGAAACGUUCGGACUUCCCACGCCCCUUCUUCCCCUCCCCCCUUCCCAAGGGUCUAGUAGACGAGGCAACUACGGUGUCUUUUGCCUCUUUGUAUUGCCAGCGCGGGGUCUUUCCAAAAUAUAAAACUAUUAGGAAAAAUAUGAACCGAGCAGGCGUUCGAUGACUGCUAACUGGCCAAUGAAUUAAUCAACAAUCAUUUAUUAGCGUCUACUCCGUGCCGAGUUCGAGGCUAAGCGCUGGAGAUACAAAAAGUACCUCAGUACAGCAAGCCCUCGGCUUCCGGGAGCCUACCCUUUAACGGGGAUUACAAAGCCCUCCUCAGUGCGCGCUCGGCCAGCUCGCCUUGGGGGCCGAGGCCCGGGCCUGGCCCGCCCGCUCCCUUCGUCCCGAUCCCCUCCCCAGCCCGUCCCAGCUCGCAGGCCGCUCCGCCGCCUCUCCGCUCCACAUACGUCCCAGACCGAACUGCCCAGGCUGCGGGCCUGCUCCUCAGCUACCUGCUUUGAGCUCCGAGACCGUCGCCAUUUUCCAACGGCCGCCCGGGGAAAAAGAAAGGUGGGUCUGGGCUAGAAUGGGCUGAGGCGAGCGCGCCUGCGCAGCACGCCGCCCCGCCCUUCAGAGGCUUGAACGCCCCCGGGGGCGCCGCUUGUCACGCCCCGCCCCGGGUUAUCUCCGGCCUUUAAAGCUAAAGGGAGCAUUUGCGCAGACGCCGCUUUGCGCAGACGCCGCUUUGCGCAGACGCCGCUUUGCGCAGACGCC